GCCAUGGUGGCUCAGUGGUUGAGCACCAACCUAUGAACCAGGAAGUCAUGGUUCAAGUCCCGGUCAAGGCA
rfam:Myotis brandtii contig262998, whole genome shotgun sequence.